UUGACCUUUUCUUCUAUAUAUAUAUAUGAAGAGUUUCUAUCAAAUAUAUACAUAUAACUCUUUAAGCAAAAGAAAUUGAUUAAGGAAGAGAGAUAUGGAGAACAAGUGGAGUGGUAUGAUGGUUUUGGUUUUGGUGGUGAUGGCUGCCAUUGGAGGAGAAGCAAUCACGACUCCAUGUGAACAGAUGUGUUUAAAACACUGCGGCCGAGUCGGCCCCAUACAUCCGAUCUGCCUUCGAAUCUGCUAUAACAAGCGAUGCAAGCAUCCUCCACCGAGUAGUAGUACCUUUCAAUCUACUUCGCAUUCGCAGAUGAAGACUAAAGGGAUGGAAGAAAUGCAUGCAUAGAGUGCUGCUAGAGAUAGUUUCUCAUUGUUCAUGCUCGAUUUAUUUUUAUUUCUCUAUGUAAAACAAAUCGUUACCUUUUGAUAUGUAGCAAAAAAUUUAUAAGAUUUUUAAAA